rnacentral:tRNA from 1 species
GCGGGAUUCGUAUAAUGGCAGUACGUCACCUUCCCAAGGUGAAAGCACGGGUUCGAUUCCCGUAUUCCGCU